UACGUAGGGGGGCAAGCGUUGUCCGGAAUCAUUGGGCGUAAAGAGCGUGUAGGCGGCCAGGUAGGUCGGUUGUGAAAACUGGAGGCUCAACCUUCAGAGGUCGACCGAAACCAUCUGGCUAGAGUCCGGGAGAGGAGAGUGGAAUUCCUGGUGUAGCGGUGAAAUGCGCAGAUAUCAGGAAGAACACCCGUGGCGAAAGCGGCUCUCUGGAACGGUACUGACGCUGAGACGCGAAAGCGUGGGGAGCGAACAGG
rnacentral:rRNA from 1 species